rnacentral:rRNA from 2 species
AGACCCGAAACCCGGUGAUCUAGCCAUGGGCAGGUUGAAGGUUGGGUAACACUAACUGGAGGACCGAACCGACUAAUGUUGAAAAAUUAGCGGAUGACCUGUGGCUGGGGGUGAAAGGCCAAUCAAACCGGGAGAUAGCUGGUUCUCCCCGAAAGCUAUUUAGGUAGCGCCUCGUGAAUUCAUCUCCGGGGGUAGAGCACUGUUUCGGCUAGGGGGCCAUCCCGGCUUACCAACCCGAUGCAAACUGCGAAUACCGGAGAAUGUUAUCACGGGAGACACACGGCGGGUGCUAACGUCCGUCGUGAAGAGGGAAACAACCCAGACCGCCAGCUAAGGUCCCAAAGUCAUGGUUAAGUGGGAAACGAUGUGGGAAGGCCCAGACAGCCAGGAUGUUGGCUUAGAAGCAGCCAUCAUUUAAAGAAAGCGUAAUAGCUCACUGGUCGAGUCGGCCUGCGCGGAAGAUGUAACGGGGCUAAACCAUGCACCGAAGCUGCGGCAGCGACACUGUGUGUUGUUGGGUAGGGGAGCGUUCUGUAAGCCUGUGAAGGUGUGUCGUGAGGCAUGCUGGAGGUAUCAGAAGUGCGAAUGCUGACAUAAGUAACGAUAAAGCGGGUGAAAAGCCCGCUCGCCGGAAGACCAAGGGUUCCUGUCCAACGUUAAUCGGGGCAGGGUGAGUCGACCCCUAAGGCGAGGCCGAAAGGCGUAGUCGAUGGGAAACGGGUUAAUAUUCCCGUACUUGGUGUUACUGCGAAGGGGGGACGGAGAAGGCUAUGUUGGCCGGGCGACGGUUGUCCCGGUUUAAGCGUGUAGGUGUGUGUUCCAGGUAAAUCCGGUUCACUUUAACACUGAGGCGUGACGACGAGGCACUACGGUGCUGAAGCAACAAAUGCCCUGCUUCCAGGAAAAGCCUCUAAGCAUCAGGUAACAUCAAAUCGUACCCCAAACCGACACAGGUGGUCAGGUAGAGAAUACCAAGGCGCUUGAGAGAACUCGGGUGAAGGAACUAGGCAAAAUGGUGCCGUAACUUCGGGAGAAGGCACGCUGACACGUAGGUGAAGUGAUUUACUCAUGGAGCUGAAGUCAGUCGAAGAUACCAGCUGGCUGCAACUGUUUAUUAAAAACACAGCACUGUGCAAACACGAAAGUGGACGUAUACGGUGUGACGCCUGCCCGGUGCCGGAAGGUUAAUUGAUGGGGUCAGCGCAAGCGAAGCUCCUGAUCGAAGCCCCGGUAAACGGCGGCCGUAACUAUAACGGUCCUAAGGUAGCGAAAUUCCUUGUCGGGUAAGUUCCGACCUGCACGAAUGGCGUAAUGAUGGCCAGGCUGUCUCCACCCGAGACUCAGUGAAAUUGAACUCGCUGUGAAGAUGCAGUGUACCCGCGGCAAGACGGAAAGACCCCGUGAACCUUUACUAUAGCUUGACACUGAACAUUGAGCCUUGAUGUGUAGGAUAGGUGGGAGGCUUUGAAGUGUGGACGCCAGUCUGCAUGGAGCCGACCUUGAAAUACCACCCUUUAAUGUUUGAUGUUCUAACGUGGACCCGUUACCCGGGUUGCGGACAGUGUCUGGUGGGUAGUUUGACUGGGGCGGUCUCCUCCUAAAGAGUAACGGAGGAGCACGAAGGUUGGCUAAUCCUGGUCGGACAUCAGGAGGUUAGUGCAAUGGCAUAAGCCAGCUUGACUGCGAGCGUGACGGCGCGAGCAGGUGCGAAAGCAGGUCAUAGUGAUCCGGUGGUUCUGAAUGGAAGGGCCAUCGCUCAACGGAUAAAAGGUACUCCGGGGAUAACAGGCUGAUACCGCCCAAGAGUUCAUAUCGACGGCGGUGUUUGGCACCUCGAUGUCGGCUCAUCACAUCCUGGGGCUGAAGUAGGUCCCAAGGGUAUGGCUGUUCGCCAUUUAAAGUGGUACGCGAGCUGGGUUUAGAACGUCGUGAGACAGUUCGGUCCCUA